rnacentral:rRNA from 1 species
UACGUAGGGUGCAAGCGUUGUCCGGAAUUAUUGGGCGUAAAGAGCUUGUAGGCGGUUUGUCGCGUCUGCUGUGAAAUUUCGGGGCUCAACCCCGAACUUGCAGUGGGUACGGGGCAGACUAGAGUGUGGUAGGGGAGACUGGAAUUCCUGGUGUAGCGGUGAAAUGCGCAGAUAUCAGGAGGAACACCGAUGGCGAAGGCAGGUCUCUGGGCAUUAACUGACGCUGAGGAGCGAAAGCAUGGGGAGCGAACAGG